rnacentral:rRNA from 1 species
UACGUAGGGGGCAAGCGUUAUCCGGAUUUACUGGGUGUAAAGGGAGCGUAGACGGCAUAGCAAGUCUGAUGUGAAAGCCCGCGGCUCAACCGCGGGACUGCAUUGGAAACUGUUAAGCUAGAGUGCCGGAGAGGUAAGUGGAAUUCCUAGUGUAGCGGUGAAAUGCGUAGAUAUUAGGAGGAACACCAGUGGCGAAGGCGGCUUGCUGGACGAUGACUGACGUUGAGGCUCGAAAGCGUGGGGAGCAAACA